GUUCAUUUUGGCAGCACAUAUACUAAAAUUAGAAUGAUACAGAAAAGAUUAGUAUGGCCCAUGAGCAAAUAUGACACAUAAAUUUGUGAAGUGUUCCACAUUUUU